GGAUGGGCUCGCGGCCUAUCAGCUUGUUGGUGGGGUGAUGGCCUACCAAGGCGACGACGGGUAGCCGGCCUGAGAGGGUGACCGGCCACACUGGGACUGAGACACGGCCCAGACUCCUACGGGAGGCAGCAGUGGGGAAUAUUGCACAAUGGGCGCAAGCCUGAUGCAGCGACGCCGCGUGAGGGAUGACGGCCUUCGGGUUGUAAACCUCUUUCAGCAGGGGAGAAGGCCUUCGGGUUGACGGUACCUGCAGAAGAAGCGCCGGCUAACUACGUGCCAGCAGCCGCGG
rnacentral:rRNA from 1 species